GCUGGGUGUGGUGGCGGGUGCCUGUAAUCCCAGCUACUUGGGAGGCUGAGGCAGGAGAAUUGUUUGAACCUGGGAGGCAGAAGUUGCAGUGAGCCAAGAUGGCCACACUGCACUACAGCCUAGGUGACAGAGUAAGACCCUGUCUUAA
rnacentral:sRNA from 1 species